CGGUAAUGCACGUAAUUUAUGAAAGUUGCCAAUCCAAUAUAAAGCCAAGAGAAGAAAAAGCCUGGAAGGAGGAGAGAUGACUAGAAACGAUUCUGUUGACCGUUUUAUUUGUGGCUUAAUUGGCGAGGUAGAGGAUGUUCUCCAUUUCAGGUGAAGUACUAUGAAGGCACCACUGAUCUCGACAAGAGGCGCAACAUUCGUAGGGGGCAGAAAUUCACUAUUCAGGGCAAUAACAUGUAUCUACGGGGGAAGGAUGGCCAGCCUCACAGGAGUGUGAUUUUUAACUGAGGAGAAGGAGGCCAUGCUGACCGAGAUGCAAGCUGGCCAUUUCAGAGUGAAGCGCAUGAUUGCCAAAAUCAACAUACUCUUCUUUUGGCAUUUGGCAUGGGAUUGUCAAGAAUGUGGACAGCUGGGCAAGUGAAAUAACCUUUUGUUUAUCAAUCACAUUCUAUUAUAUCUGAAAUUAUUAUGAUUUCAUAUCAGAGAGAACAUAAUAUUUCAAUUUGUCACCUUGUGCUUAAUAGUCAGUACCCUGUCUAGUCUCACAGAAGUUUGAGAGGGUGAACACUUUGGCGUAGGAGUUGAAGCCCAUCAGUUGUUUCACCAUUGCACAUGAUCGAUCACUGAAACUCCACCUGAUGUGAUGGAAGUUGUCGAACCAGAUCAGAACGCCUUCAAGGACGACCUUCAGGCACAAGAUUGAACAAGGACAAGGCGCUGGAGAAACAGAAGGAGAGCUACCAGAGGAGAAUCAAGAGAAUCAAGAGCUUCGACAUCCGGGCGAAUGACUUGGUUUGGAAGAAGGAUGAAAGGAAGGCGAGACGUGGGAAACCUUGCUGCUCUUUCGCUCCUAGCUGGGGUCACCAUCCGUUAAGCCGUGACAGAAUACCCCACCACAAAAGGACCAAGCAGCGUGCAAAGGAAUGGACCUGGGAGGAAGUUCUGGACGGCAAGGGAUCCUGGACAUGGGAGGAGAUCCAGGCUGGAUGGGAUCGCCUCCAUUGGGAACAGGUGGAGGCAGCGAGAGCAGAGCGGCGACGAGAGGAGGAACUAGCCCGGCAGGCAACAAGGCAAGCACAAGAGGCAGCCCCCCCCCCCAAAAAAUUGGGGGGCUCAUGGGGAGAUUGGCAGAGUCAGGUUGAAGACCUGAGCCAACUCCCCGUGCUUACUGUGGGGGGCGAGUGAUCGAGCAAGCACCAUGUUAUGCUGAGAUACGCACUGUGUCGCCAGUGCGCAGCUACAGCCCAGUGCGCUCAGUGCAAGCUCCUCACAGGUGCUGUGCUAGAGUUGGCAUUAAGCCAGGAAGGAGUAUGCCUGCUCAGCGUUCCUGGUCUCCGGUGUGUCUUCUCGACCCAGGUUAUCCUGCGCCAGCUCUACGCACGGUACCCCCAGUUCGCCAACACAAACCUGUGCAACCUGUCACAACGCCUCGCGCUUGUCGGGCUAUGGUGGUUAUCCAGUCAGGAUGGGUUGUGCCAGCCAUAAGCUCCAGACCUCCAGUGCGCCUCCACAGGCCAGUAUACCCUGUGCCUGCUCCGCGCACCCGGCCUCCAGCGAUGUUCCCUAGUCCAGAACUCUCAGCGACGUUCUCUAGUCUGGUGAGACCUAUUCCAGCUCCACGAAAGAAGCCUCCAGCGAUGAUCUAUGGUCUGAAGCCUGUAGGGAUGAUCAAUGGCACGAAGCCUCCAGAGAUAAUCCAUGGCCCGGAGUCUGUAGGGAUAAUCCAUGGCAAGAAGCUUGUAGGGAUGAUCCAUGGCACGAAGCCUCCAGUGAUGAUCCGUGGCGCUGAUCCUGCAGCGAGGGUCCCCGGUCAGGAGCCUCCAGCGAGGGUCCCCGGUCAGGAGCCUCCAGCGACGGUCCCCGGUCAGGAGCCUCCAGCGACGCUCCCCGGUCAGGUGCCUCCAGAACCUCCAGCAAUGAUCUACAGUCCGGUUCUUUCGACGACGAUCCAUG